GCCGCCGCGGUAAUUCGGAGGGUGCAAGCGUUAAUCGGAAUUACUGGGCGUAAAGCGCACGCAGGCGGUCUGUCAAGUCGGAUGUGAAAUCCCCGGGCUCAACCUGGGAACUGCAUUCGAAACUGGCAGGCUAGAGUCUUGUAGAGGGGGGUAGAAUUCCAGGUGUAGCGGUGAAAUGCGUAGAGAUCUGGAGGAAUACCGGUGGCGAAGGCGGCCCCCUGGACAAAGACUGACGCUCAGAUGCGAAAGCGUGGGGGGCAAACAGGAUUAGAUACCCUGGUAGUCCACGCCGUAAACGAUGUCGACUUGGAGGUUGUGCCCUUGAGGCGUGGCUUCCGGAGCUAACGCGUUAAGUCGACCGCCUGGGGAGUACGGCCGCAAGGUUAAAACUCAAAUGAAUUGACGGGGGCCCGCACAAGCGGUGGAGCAUGUGGUUUAAUUCGAUGCAACGCGAAGAACCUUACCUACUCUUGACAUCCAGAGAACUUAGCAGAGAUGCUUUGGUGCCUUCGGGAACUCUGAGACAGGUGCUGCAUGGCUGUCGUCAGCUCGUGUUGUGAAAUGUUGGGUUAAGUCCCGCAACGAGCGCAACCCUUAUCCUUUGUUGCCAGCGGUUAGGCCGGGAACUCAAAGGAGACUGCCAGUGAUAAACUGGAGGAAGGUGGGGAUGACGUCAAGUCAUCAUGGCCCUUACGAGUAGGGCUACACACGUGCUACAAUGGCGCAUACAAAGAGAAGCGACCUCGCGAGAGCAAGCGGACCUCAUAAAGUGCGUCGUAGUCCGGAUUGGAGUCUGCAACUCGACUCCAUGAAGUCGGAAUCGCUAGUAAUCGUGGAUCAGAAUGCCACGGUGAAUACGUUCCCGGGCCUUGCACACACCGCCCGU
rnacentral:rRNA from 1 species